rnacentral:rRNA from 1 species
AUGAUCGCGCUGGCCGCGUUAGUCUCGGUCCUCCUCCUCCUCGCCGGCAACGUGCUCCUUGACGCCGACAUGAACGGCAAGCUCAGCGACUUCGGCCUCGCGCGGCUCUACGACCACGGCGGCGACCCGCAGACGACGCGCGUGGUGGGCACGCUCGGGUACAUCGCGCCGGAGAUGAGCAAGACCGGCAAGGCCAGCACGAGCUCCGACGUCUUCGCCUUCGGAGCCUUCCUGCUGGAGGUGGCGUGCGGCCGGAGGCCCGUGGUAUUCAGCAACAACGAUUCCGAAGACUCGCCGCCGUCGCCGGGGCUCGUGGAGCUCGUCCUGGAGCACUGGAAGGCCGGGAAGAUCACGGAGGCGAGGGACCCGAGGAUGGGCAAGUGCGACGAGGACGAUCUCGAGCUGGUCCUCAAGCUCGGGCUGCUCUGCUCGCAUCCCGACCCGUUGCGGCGGCCGGGCAUGAGGCAGGUGGUGCAGAUGCUGGAAGGCGCGGCACCGGCGCCAGAGACGUCGCCGGAGGAUCUUGGAAACAGCAUGACGCUGUUCGAGCACAGCGAGGCGUUCGACGGGUUCGUCGGAGUGUCGUUCCCGUCGACGUCAGGGUUCACCACCGCCACCAUGCGGACGUCGGCGUCGAACUCCCCUGACGAGAAACGGCAGCUCCUCUUCAGCUGA